rnacentral:miRNA from 1 species
AGUCAGGGGGGAAGUGGGCUGA